GCAGACGUACAAAGAAAUUGUAUGCCAUUCCUCCCAGAAGUCAGGCCGCGGCUCACAAUGACAAAGAAGAGCAGUCCCAGCCUCUGCACUACUUCUGGCUUCAUUUCCACAUCAGCAGAAAGGGCUUCCCCAGAUGUGAGCAGUCAUAAAGGGGACAUUGCUUACGGCUCUCGGGUGGCUGGCCAGGCUGACUAAGCACGCUUACCGAUCCCGCACACUGUUUAGAAUCACAAUGAGCUGGAAACUGCGUGCCAAGACGUGAGCGAUCCAGGGAGCAGUUACUCAUUUUUAAGCCAGCAGUAUGAACUAUCCCAUGAGCAAUUGCAGCUCCAUUAUCAGCAGGGGAGACCUGAUACAACAGAGCCUAUCCUGAAGAACACAUGAUGUAAAAGGUGAAUGCAGAGGAAGGGAAGGGGGAAACCAAGCUGCACCAGGUAAAGUAGGUGGUGAUGAUAAUUUCAGGCUGCUAGCUACUUCAAAUGUAGAUACUGAUUGCAGUUUUCAAAAAUCUUUGCAUAAAAUUGGCCCCUGAAUCCUUACAUAUCACUAGAUAUGUAAAGAUCCUGGGUUUUGAGGGGAUGGAGAACCUAAAAAUCAAUUCUGUUUCCUUCAAGUGUUUAACUACACAUAUAUUUGAGCUGAGAUUACCAGCUGAGCACUAAAUUCACACCGCUAAUUUCAAUUUUAAUCUCAGUAUUGUCUUUUGUUGAAUGAUGUAGCACAAAUAACAUCAGCAUUUCAAGCAGUGCAGAAGUAGUCAACUUUGGGAAGUAUUAAAAAAUAAAAUAAAAUCACUGAACCCCUGUAUUUAUCUCAUGUUGCCCUGGCUGAUCAUUGUGCUGACAAGUAGGCCAGCUGUGAAACAACAGUUACUUAGGAGCAGUGGGGAAAGGCAAUGCCAGAGCAGAGCUAUGCAUGGCUUUGCAUGCGAGAAUGAGUUAACUAUGACUCAGUAGACAGAGAGGCGAGUGACAGUGCAAGGAUUCAGAGUGGGUUUUCAUGGCCUAACAGCAAGCAGUGUUAGUUAAUGGCAGACUAUCAGGAGUUAAGUACACUGUGGGUGCUGCUGCCCCUCGUUUUGGUUUUUGCCAGGUUUCUGCUCUGGCCUCCAAGUCUCAUCUUGCCUCUUUUUCAAGUUAAGGAGCUGCCUUUGGAACCGAGUGGGAAGAGGCAAAGGGAAGGUCAAAAAAUAGUCAGUAAGCAUGGCUCCUAUGGAAUGCAGCUGUAAAGUAUCCUUUUUAUUUAGUUUUGGCUUACAUUAGAGCUACAGUAUAAUGCAUUGCCAUCAUAUUUGUAGACUGUCCUAGCUCAUCCAGCUCCAGCCCCCCUGCCAUGAGCCAGGACACCUACACUAGAUCAGUCUGCCCACAGCCCAAUCCAACCUGGCCUCAAACAUCUCCAAGCGUUGCUUCUCUGAGCAACAUGAUCCAGGGCCUCAUUCCCCUUGCAAGGAAAAAAUUCCUUCCUAAUAUCUAAUCUAAAUCUAUUUACUCAUUCUAUGACUACACAGCUUGCUAGAGUCCCUCACCUAUCUUCCUAUAGGCACCCUUUAUUCCCUGAAGUCCACAAUGAGAUCUCCCCACAGCCUUCUCUUCUCCAGCCUGAACAAGCCCAGCUCCCUCAGUCUGUCUCCACUGGAGAAUUGCUCCAGCCCUCCAAUCAUCUUUGUGUGGCCCUCCUCCAGACUUGCUCCAACUGCUUCACAACCUUCUUAUGCUGCAGGCCCCACUGCUGACCACAAUACUCCAUGUAAAAAGAGGCCUACAGUUCUACUCCAAUUUAUAAUUAUUUUAUUUUCUUCCCCUCAAGCCUUCCAUUUUUUGUGUGACAAGCAAGUUGUGUAAUAUAUCACUCAAGAGUUGGGAAAUUCAGCAAUGAAGCCUGUUUGUGCAUUCUUUGAUUUAAAAUUGAUUAAUAACAGUAAGAUGCACCGAUGUUACACUUCACAGAUAACAACAGCUAGAUAAUGUCAAUACAUUCACCAAUCUCAUUGGCAUAGUUCUGCUGUAGGACUAACACGGGUAAACACAAACUGGGAGGGACAGCAUGAAAAAAAGUUUCUUUCUGAAUUCUCUUAGGCAACUGAGUGGACACAUGACAUAAUUUUGUUAGUUGCUCUUGCAGUGGACUUGAAUAAACAGAAGUGAAUUAGAAUGAAAGUCUCUGGUAGUUUCAGAACACCACAAAGUUCCUGUUUGCCUCAGUUGUUGAAAGCAUUAAUGCAGUGCUUGCCGUUGGCCAAGUAGAGUUGAACAAGGAGGGCUGGAAGCUUCCUGAAGAAGGUGAAAUGAAAUGGGAGCUUGUGUUGUUCCCUUUCAUGGAGACACGUUGUGCCCAUCUCUUGUAGCAGCUAGAAGACUCACUGUCUGUCUCAAGAGAGUUGCAUUAGAAUUGGAAAGGCAACUCUUGGGAUACAAGCUCAUUUGCAUAAAAAUGCAUGUAUUGGGACUUUCCAGCUUGAAAAAAUAAAUAAAUAAAACUGAGAGGAAGCAAUGAAAGGCCUGCUAGGCAAAGGACAACAUGAAGGGGGCCAGGGAGCAAUCAGUCACCACAUCUCAGUAUGAGAGAGAAAGCAGCAAGAAAUGAAUUGAUUGGACAGUGUUUAGAACAAACAAAAAGCAAUACCUCUUCACCCAACUCAUAAUCACAUUUGGAACUCCUUGCUGCAAGAUGUGGGGCCUGACAGGAUAGAUACAUUCAGAAAAUCACAAAACAAACCUGCAGAAGGAUGCAAGCCAUACUUUCACCACUGACUACCAGUGGCCUUCAGGCCCCAUUUCAUACAGCCCUCCCAAAGUACCUAAAAUGGGACAUUAUCAGGGAAAGGAUAGGCUAGAUGAGGCAGCUUUGGUCUCUUCCCAACAGCCAACAGUAUUGGCUGUAACAAUCCAAAAGAUCUAUGUGGUGGAAGGGCGACACAGAAAGGGUAAUAACAAAAGGAGUAGUGCAAAUGGAAAGGUGUUACAAAAGAAAGGAAAAGAACUCACCUAUAGUUGAACAUCUAGGCUCACACAAAAAACUCCACAAGUGAGGGAUCACCAACCAGAGAUUUGUUCCUCGUGGCAGUCAGACUUUAAAUGAGGUCUAAGAGAGGUGCAGACAAGCUCUACCUCUUGCAGACACACACCUGAAUUGCCUUCACCUGUGCUCCCAGGGCUGACCGGGUCCUUUCUCCAGGUGCUCAAUCAGUGGUUCAGGCCGUGAGUCAACAGUUACCAUAGAUUGUCACAGGUACAAAUUCAGGAACAAAA